CAGCAGCCGCGGUAAUACGAAGGGUGCAAGCGUUACUCGGAAUUACUGGGCGUAAAGCGUGCGUAGGUGGUUGUUUAAGUCUGCUGUGAAAGCCCUGGGCUCAACCUGGGAAUUGCAGUGGAUACUGGGCAACUAGAGUAAGGUAGAGGAUAGUGGAAUUUCCGGUGUAGCAGUGAAAUGCGUAGAGAUCGGAAGGAACAUCUGUGGCGAAGGCGACUAUCUGGGCCAUUACUGACACUGAGGCACGAAAGCGUGGGGAGCAAACAGGAUUAGAUACCCCUGUAGUUCCUGUCUCUUAUAA
rnacentral:rRNA from 1 species